UACAUGUGUAUAUCACAAUAAUUGCGCUAGAUUAUUUCUCUAGCUCCUUGAAAGUUUUCUUUCCGAAAAUUACACAAUCACUUCUCCCUGUUGUGAAUAUAACAAGGCUUUGUCCUCACAAAGAUCCUGUCUCAUUUCUCUUCUAAAUCUUCAAAUCUCUGUGUGUGGUUAAUAAGAUGGAGCUGGAUAUGAUGGAGGUUCAAAACCAAGAGUACCCCAACACAGACCAAGUGGUUCUAUUCAUAGAUCAAUCAGACUCCAAACUCCAAAUGUCGUCGCCACCACCACAGCAAGAAGAUUCCAAAGUCAAACAGUCACCAUCACCACAGCAACCAGACAUGAAAGACUCUAAAACCUACGCGAGAACAAAAACCCUCCGCCGUCUCAACUUCUCCAAACCCAAAUCUCGUUUCACUGAAACUAACUACCCUCCCCAUUCCAAAACCUUCCCUGAAUCCGAAGAAUACCAACCCCUAAACCCUCCCGAAAGCGCUACCUCCACAGAUGAAGACGAUGAUGAAGAAUGGUUUGAAAAUGAAGAAGAAGGAGGAGAAGAAGUUGAUGCUGGGGAGGCCAAAAAACGUUCCAAGUAUAGAACGAAAAGGAAAAGAAAGAUAAAAAAGAGAGCCUUGAUUGAGUUCAUAUUGUUUCUCACAAUCAUGACCUGCUUAAUUCUCUCUUUAACCGUUGAAUCCCUCAUAAACAAGGUCCUAUGGGGUUUAGUUUUAUGGAAAUGGUGCCUUAUGGUCCUGGUUCUCUUCUGUGGCCGCCUUGUAUCGGUUUGGGUUGUAGGCUUUCUUGUUUUUCUCAUAGAACGCAAUUUCAUGCUCAGAGAAAAAGUACUCUACUUUGUUUUUGGUUUGCGCAAGAGUUUUCAACAUUGUGCGUGGCUAGGAUUGGUUCUACUUGCAUGGAUGAGUAUGUUCCAUGAUGUCCACAAAUCCAACAAGGUCUUAAAGAGGGUUUUCCGUGCUCUAAUUGCUGUCCUCAUUGGAGCUACAAUAUGGUUACUAAAGAUUUUACUUGUCAAGGUUCUUGCUUCAUCUUUCCAUGUUGCUACUUUCUUUGACCGCAUGAAAGAAAGCGUCUUCCACCACUACAUUCUCGAUACACUCUCCGGUCCACCAUUGAAUGAGGAUGAGAGAGAAACUCCUCGUCGACGGACGCUAACGCAUUCGAAGACAUUGCCGGCGAAACUGAGGGAGAGGGCAUCAAGAUCUAAGAGGUAUGAGUCGAGGAGCAUCGAUAUGGAGAGGUUGAGGAAGUUAAGUAUGAUGAGGAGGGCAUCUGCUUGGAAUAUAAAGAGGUUGGUGAGUUACAUUAAGUCUUCAGGGCUGUCAACGAUUUCGAGGACGGUCGAUGAUUUUGGUAACGCAGAAUCGGAGAUCAACAGUGAAUGGGAGGCUAGAGGCACUGCUCAAAGAAUUUUUAGGAAUGUUGCCAAAUCUGGUGCCAAGUAUAUAGAAGAGGAAGAUCUACUAAGGUUCUUAAAGACUGUGGAGGUCUAUACCAUAUUUCCUCUCUUUGAAGGAGCUGUUGAGACUGGAAAAAUCACAAAAUCUUCGUUCAGAAAUUGGGUGGUACAUGCUUAUGUUGAGAGAAAAGCAUUGGCACAUUCCUUGAAUGAUACCAAGACUGCUGUUCAGCAACUUCACAAGUUAGCAAGUGCAAUAGUGACUGUAAUUAUAAUUGUGAUCUCCCUUUUGGUAACGGGAUUGGCGACGACCAAGGUUUUAGUUGUUUUCACAUCUCAACUGCUACUCGUGGGGUUCAUGUUCCAAAACACUUGCAAAACUAUCUUUGAGUCUAUCAUUUUUGUCUUUGUUAUGCAUCCUUUUGAUGUUGGUGAUCGUUGUGUUAUUGAUGGCGUACAGAUGAUUGUGGAAGAGAUGAAUAUUUUGACAACUGUGUUCUUACGAUAUGAUGCAGAGAAAAUAUAUUAUCCCAAUUCUGUUCUUCUUACUAAGCCUAUUAGUAAUUUUAGAAGAAGUCCAGACAUGGGGGAUGCUAUUGAUAUCACCAUUGAUGUCUCCACUUCUGUUGAUGACUUCAAUGCUCUCAAGAAAGCUAUACAACUAUACAUUGAGAGCAAACCAAAGCACUGGAACCCAAAGCACGCAUUGCUGGUGAAGGAGAUAGAAAAUGUAAACAAGAUGAAGCUUACUCUAUGUGUUCAACACACCAUGAACCAUCAAAACUACGGGGAAAAGAGCGCUCGAAGAUCGGAGCUUGUUUUUGAACUAAAGAAGAUUUUUGACAACCUUGGCAUUAAGUACCAUCUGCUUCCACAACAAGUACAUCUUACGCAUGUUAACAUGAUCGGCAAUGGGGGAAUGUCAAUGUAAUCUUGAUAUAAAUGCAAUUAUUUGGAGUGGAAAAGGAAAAUUAUCACACAUUCAAUUUGAAAAACUUAGUAAAUUGUACUUUUUAUGUUCUGAACAUUCAUACUCCUUUAUCUUUGAAAACAUUUAUUGUGACCUA